rnacentral:rRNA from 1 species
ACGCUGGCGGUAGGCUUAACACAUGCAAGUCGUGCGAGAAAGUAUCUUCGGAUAUGAGUAGAGCGGCGAACGGGUGAGUAACGCGUAGGAAUCUACCUAGUAGAAGGGGAUAGCCCGGGGAAACUCGGAUUAAUACCGUAUACCUCCUUUGGGAGAAAGAAGGCCUCUCUUUGAAGCUUUCGCUACUAGAUGAGCCUGCGUAAGAUUAGCUUGUUGGUGAGGUAAAGGCUCACCAAGGCAACGAUCUUUAGCGGGUCUGAGAGGACGAUCCGCCACAUUGGGACUGAGACACGGCCCAGACUCCUACGGGAGGCAGCAGUGGGGAAUAUUGGACAAUGGGCGCAAGCCUGAUCCAGCCAUACCGCGUGUGUGAAGAAGGCCCUAGGGUUGUAAAGCACUUUAAGUUGGGAAGAAAAGUUAUUGGUUAAUACCCAAUAACCGUGACAUUACCUUCAGAAUAAGGACCG